rnacentral:rRNA from 1 species
AACGAACGCUGGCGGCAGGCUUAACACAUGCAAGUCGAACGGGUGUAGCAAUACAUCAGUGGCAGACGGGUGAGUAACACGUGGGAACCUUCCUAGGGGUACGGAACAACUCAGGGAAACUUGAGCUAAUACCGUAUACGUCCGUGAGGAGAAAGAUUUAUCGCCCUUAGACGGGCCCGCGUCCGAUUAACUAGUUGGUGGGGUUACGGCCUACCAAGGCGACGAUCCGUACCUGAUCUUAGAGGAUGAUCGGCCACACUGGAACUGAGACACGUCCCAUCCUCCUACGGGAGGCAGCAGUGGGGAAGCUUGCACAGUGUUCUCAAGCCUGAUCCGGCCAUGCCGCGUGAGUGAAGAAGGUCUUCGGAUUGUAAAGCUAUGUUGCCAGGGACGAUAAUGACGUUACCUGGAGAAUCAGCCCCGGCAAACUUCGUGCCAGCCGCCGCCGUAA